rnacentral:tRNA from 1 species
CACUCCCUAGCUCAGUCGGUAGAGCACUUGACUUUUAAUCAAGGGGUCCGGAGUUCGAAUCUCCGGGGAGUGACCA